rnacentral:rRNA from 1 species
UACGAAGGGGGCUAGCGUUGUUCGGAAUUACUGGGCGUAAAGCGCGCGCAGGCGGCUAUCCAAGUCAGUGGUGAAAGCCCGGAGCUCAACUCCGGAACUGCCAUUGAAACUGUUUAGCUUGAGGACGAGAGAGGUGAGUGGAAUUCCCAGUGUAGAGGUGAAAUUCGUAGAUAUCAGGAGGAACACCAGUGGCGAAGGCGGCUUUCUGGACGGUAACUGACGCUGAGACGCGAAAGCGUGGGGAGCAAACAGG